rnacentral:rRNA from 1 species
CCUACGGGGGGCAGCAGUGGGGAAUAUUGGACAAUGGGGGGAACCCUGAUCCAGCCAUGCCGCGUGUGUGAAGAAGGCCCUCGGGUUGUAAAGCACUUUCAGUGAGGAAGAACGCCUGGUGGUUAAUACCCAUCAGGAAAGACAUCACUCACAGAAGAAGCACCGGCUAACUCCGUGCCAGCAGCCGCGGUAAUACGGAGGGUGCGAGCGUUAAUCGGAAUUACUGGGCGUAAAGCGCGCGUAGGUGGCUUGAUAAGCCGGUUGUGAAAGCCCCGGGCUCAAACUGGGAACGGCAUCCGGAACUGUCAAGCUAGAGUGCAGGAGAGGAAGGUAGAAUUCCCGGUGUAGCGGUGAAAUGCGUAGAGAUCGGGAGGAAUACCAGUGGCGAAGGCGGCCUUCUGGACUGACACUGACACUGAGGUGCGAAAGCGUGGGUAGCAAACAGGAUUAGAUACCCUGGUAGUC